AUUGUCAAGCAGACAAACACUGACACAUAUAUAAUAAUAGAUCGAUACGUGGCGUCUAUGUAUCGAUACAGUAUUGCCACAGAAAAUAGAGCGAUGCUAUGCUUUAUCAAUGUUUAUCCCUCACCCCUAGUCUACCUCUGAAUGUGGUCUCAGUGAUCAGAUGUCAAUGCAUCCUGGGUGCAUUGCCGACCUGUACUUAGAGCUGUCCACUUAUCACUCAGAACAGAUUUAGAUGGGAAUGGGUUUUUUAGAUGUCUUUGUACAACCAGCCCCAGAAAUUAGCUAUCAAGAGAGCUUCACAGCCAACUUAAUAUAAGCCCGCACAGGUUGUUGUACCAUGUACUCCUGUGUGACAACUGAGUGCAAACCAUGUCAAAGGUGUUUGCGUUGCAGUUUGUAUUCUGCCGUAGUGAUUCAUUUUAUUUAACUGAAGACAUGUCUCCCUUCAUUUUGCAUUUUGGACUGUACAGUUAGAGGUCAACAACAUGAAAGCAUCUUUGCUAUUGGUUGAUAGCAUCUGUGUAUGUUAGUGUGUGUGCGUAUAUAAGUGGACCAAAGUUGAACUCUGAGUGAAUCCACUCAUUAAGAUCCCUCCUUAUGUGUUGAGUUUAUGGGGAGGCUUUCGUCAGUUGCUUUAUGUUAAAUGUAGUAGUUAACCUUUUUUUUUCCAACUGCUCUUAUCAUCAACACUUUAAUCUACCAUUAUACAACCUGUUGUCAUGCUUCCAUACAAACUGUUUAUAACAAGUUAGUUUAAGGUUGAAAGUGUGUUACUCAUCAGUGCCUCAGAGCUUUGUUUUUGAUUCUCUGCGCCGUUUGUGGUCUUAAUUUCAAUUUUAUGAAUGCAUUUACUUUGAUGACAAACUGCCAAGAAUAGAAAAUGUGUUUGAUAAAAAUCACCUAAUCACUUUAUUGUUCUUUUUUGUUAUUGUAUCUAAGUUGUAGAAGCAGGGCUGCUGCAGCUGUCCUCUUGUGUUAGUUUGAAAUUUGGAGACUUAGCAACCAUGAACAAAAUGACAUUAGGUUGCUAUUGAUUUGACUAUUUCCACGAUUCUUUUUAAAAUUGAAUACAGUACAUUAAUUUGGAAUACUUUAAAGCCAAUAAAAUAAAUAAAGAUAAAAAAGACUUACUUUCUUCUAUUUACAAUGAUAUAGAGAAGGCUUUGAAUCAGCAUUUAGACCAGGGACCUCAAACCCAAAUCACCUAGGGCAGGGCGUCCUCCUUUUGUAACUAUCUUGUCUGUCCAAAGUCAACCUCUCUGAAUUUGUGAGGCAGAUGUAAAAAUAAAUUUAUGAAGUGGAACC